ACCUGCCUAGGGUGGGACUUCAAAGUUCCUUAGAGAACAGUAGACCCAUACUUCCCCAGUCUGACUUCGGCUCUUACUGUUUUGCAGGUCAGCCUUGUGCAGAAACUUCAAGUUGUAUUCAAAUAUUUCUGGCAAGCCAUUGUCAUUGCCUGUAAUGUUUCUAUCCAAAUCAUGUCAAGUCAAAACGUGGGCACCAGAAGCACAUUGGAGAACAGGCUUUUUAAAAAGUGGGCUUUGCUCAUUUAGCUCUGCUCUCUGUACUCGUAUGAUGCAGAAUCAGGGAAAUGGAAAGAGAACUGGAGAGCAGAAGGAAUGGAAGAGACAGGAAACAACAAGAGAAGAAAAGGAGCUGGAUAAGGUAGAGUUUUUGUUUCUUGGGGUUUAGAGUUGCUUAUUGAUUGGGAAUUGAGGGUGCUGGAGAGAGAUAUAGGGAAGGACAGCUCAUUUCUGUAAAGACCACCUUAAGAGUGGCUGAAAUGGAAAAAUAAGAUUUUGAAGAUAAUAUGGUAUAAAUUAAGGAUGUAUUUCCUUCUCUCCUUUUACGGUUUCUCUAGACAAGUUGAAAAUAAAGUUGGUAUUAGUCAUAUUUUUCUAUUGAACAAUGACUUAUUUGAAGCACUUUGAGAUUGGACCACAUGGGGCCCAAAUUAUAAUCAAGCCCUUGAAACCAGUACUGGCUAAAGGAAGCUCAAAUAGGAUCCUGUAGUCAUGGCUGAUUCGGGUUCUAUUCAGCAGAGACUAAUUUUGCCAACAUUAACCAUUCUUACUGACUGAUAAGAAGGACACCUACAUGACUAUUAUCCAUUAAUGAACUUGAAAGAUAAAAGUAUACCAGACUAGCAUCAACCAUAUCAUUAUACUAAUAAAAAUGUUCAAUUAACCAGAUGUCUAUCUUUGAGUAAACAAAAGAUGUAGAUGAUUAACUAGACUUUUCAUUUCAUCUCAAUACUUGCUGUCAGGGAGAUAUGGUCAUUGACUCCUUCAACUGUCAAAACUCUAGUAGGUCUGGUACAAAGCAGGCUGGUAUUUCAGUAGAAAAUAAACUAAGAAUAAGGA
rnacentral:lncRNA from 1 species